GCGGGAGUAGCUCAGUGGUAGAGUAUAACCUUGCCAAGGUUAGGGUCGAGGGUUCGAACCCCUUCUCCCGCU
rnacentral:tRNA from 21 species